rnacentral:rRNA from 1 species
UACGUAGGGUGCGAGCGUUGUCCGGAAUUAUUGGGCGUAAAGAGCUCGUAGGCGGCUUGUCGCGUCGGAUGUGAAAGCCCGGGGCUUAACCGGGGAGGGUCGUUGGGGACGGCGGGGCUUGAGGGCGGGAGAGGGUGGUGGAAUUCCCGGUGUAGUGGUGAAAUGCGUAGAGAUCGGGAGGAACACCCGUGGCGAAGGCGGCCACCUGGGCCGACCCUGACGCUGAGGCGCGAAGGCGUGGGGAGCGAACGGG